AGCAACCAGGCCAUGUGAACGCCGAGAAACAUGCAGCAAAGAUCUUCCCGCACUACAGGAAGCGGGGCGCAGAUGCGACGCCGAACGCCUUCUGACCUGGGGCUGGCGUCAGAGCCCGUGUCGCCUCGAGUCCCCGUCCAUACGAGAAAAUCAGGUGUUCCCAUCCGUGGAAGACUUUGCCCACCUGCGGUGUCUGGAGACAACUUUUGUGGCCUCAAGGAGAAGCGGUCCUGUAUCAAGUGGGCGGGAGCCAAGGGAGCUGCCAGACACCUACAAUGCUCAGGAAGCCUCCACUGCAGAGUUAUGCCCCAAAACGUCAAUAGUUUCCAAGCAGAGAAAAUCCCUGGUCCCUACAAAUCUCCCCACCCUCUCUCCUAUGCCCCAACCCCAGGGCACUGGAGCAAGGCUGCCUUAGUGCACCCGAAGCUAUGCCCAAGGGUCCCUGCAGAAGGCCCCAGGGGCCUCCCUUGCAACUUUCCCAGAGGAAUUUCCUUGCACACACCCAUCCAGCUACUGCACCCGAUGAGCCCCAUGGGGGACUCGGAUCCCACAGUGGGCACCAGCAGCCUGGGCACCAGGCUGCAGAUCCGUUACACACUGCAGUCCUGUCCAGGCUUCAGGCGCAGGGUGCUGGAGCCCGCUCUCCUCCGCUGCUUGCUCUGGGAAGCUGUUAAGGGCUUCCUCGCUCACACAGCAGCCAGACUCACGGAGCAGGGGUGAAGCAGGGGGUGAAAGAAGACCCAAGAUCAGGCUGCUCCCAUCUGAACAGUCCCAGACCCCUUCCCAUGACAAGCCCCACUACCUGCAUGCGAACUGAUCUUCCCAAACUGGUUGUUGAUUGAAUGAAUGAGUAAAAGGGUAAGCCUUAUGAGACUCAUUCAUUCAUUCAAAAAUAUCCACUGAGUAUCUUGCCGUGCCUGGCACUGUGCUAGAUGCAGAGUGACCAAGAGAAGCCAAGUCCCUGUUCUCUAAAGCUUACCUUCUGGGGAAGGAGGCAGAUGCCACACAAACAGAUAAAUAUGGACUAUUGUCUUAGGCAGUCAUGAGGGCUGGGAACAAAGUAUGGCAAGGAGGUUGAGAUUGACAGACUGAGGGUGAUGUUUACAUUGGGCCCUUAGAAGGGCUUCUCUACGGACAUGUGGUUGAACCGAGAUCUGAAAGUCAUAAGGGGGAAGCCUUCCACCACGCUGCUAAUAGUGAGUGCAAAGGUCCUGAGGUAGGGAUGUUCUCAGAGAACUGGAGAGACAGUAAAAUGAGCCGGUGUAGUGAAGAGCGGGCCUGGUAUCACCUCUGAG
rnacentral:lncRNA from 1 species